rnacentral:rRNA from 1 species
GACAGAGGGUGCAAACGUUGUUCGGAAUUACUGGGCGUAAAGCGCGUGUAGGCUGCUCGGAAAGUCGGAUGUGAAAGCCCUGGGCUCAACCUAGGAAGUGCAUUCGAAACUUCCGAGCUGGAGUGCUGGAGAGGAAGGCGGAAUUCUCGGUGUAGAGGUGAAAUUCGUAGAUAUCGGGAGGAACACCAGUGGCGAAGGCGGCUCUCUGGACAGGUACUGACGCUGAGACGCGAAAGCGUGGGUAGCAAACAGG